GUUCUUUAAUCGAUUCUACCGCCAAACAAAAUAAUCGUAUACCAAUGAAUGUGGACGCUAGAAGCUAGAACUUGUAUGCCAUCGAUGCUUACAUAUAUUUGUAUCUAUAAAAGUGUUUGGGUGCGUGCAUAUGUGUGAGGCAGGGUGCUGCAGCCCAACUACGCGGUUGAGUUAGGUGGCUGCAACUGGGACAGUGAUCUUCACACGGCUGCAACCGGCGAAAUCAAUACAAUUGUUUUUGGCCUGCUUACCAACAGAUGUUUCUUCGGACUGAGUAGUCAAUUGAAAAGUAAAGUCUUGAUGAACCAAAACCAAACUCUUCAAGUCGCUCAUUAUUCCCGUCCAGCUACUAGUAUAUGGUGCAGAAACGUGGACGAUGUCGAUAUCCGAUAAGACGGCCCUAGAAGUUUUCCAGAGAAAUGUUUUGCAGUAAAUAUGCGGGCGAAUACCGCAGACGGUAGAACAAUGAGCUGUAUACGACGACAUAGAUAUAGUUCAGCGAACAAAACAACAGCGGCUCGGUCAUGUCGUCCAAAUGGACGAAAGCACUCCAGCUUUGAAGAAGAAGAAAGAGGAAAUCCACUCCGGUAGAAAGACCAGGUGAAGAGCGAUAUGGUUUCACUGGGAUUUCCAAUUGGCGCCAAACUGCGAGUAGAAGAAACGAAUAGUGCGCUAUUGUUGAUUCGGCUAUAAUCACGUAAGCUACGUCAAUGUAGCAAUAUUAGUAGUAAUUUAUAUGAAGAACUAUAUAAAAAAUAUAUGCAGAAAAAAUUUAAUAGUGAUCGGAUCAUUUGUCUCCAAGUAAUCACACGAGCAAAUAUGAAAAAUGUAGUUAUAAGAAAAACACUUUUAUAGAUAAACUGGUGGAGUUGAUUGAACUGAGCGGCUACACUUUAGAAGUCUACUAUUUGAGAUAUCGAUUUAAAAUUUUGUUAUGUUAGUUUUGAAAGUAUAACCUUAUGAAUAUAUAUUUUUUUUUAAUUUCACACUAGAUGUCCCCUUAUUUUGAGUAUUAUAGUUUAGUGGACCAUGAACUCACCGCAUUUCGUUUAAGAACAGGUAACAGUUGAUCAAGAAUUCUAUAAGAAAGUUUUCUUAAACCUUGGGAUUAACUAUUAGUCAAAUAAUUACAGCAAUAAAAAGGUCCAGAAUAUCGAAGGAUGUGAGUAAGCAUGAAAUUCUAGAGGAAUCUUUACAGCUGGAAAAGCUAAUAAUUUGCAACAGUUUCAAAUGCAUUAUAGUCAAUAUUCAAACCGAUUUGAGCUGCGAGUUCAUGUGCUUUAAGGGCGUAUUCUAGACAUGAAUUUUUGGUAAUUUUUAAAGUGUCGUAAAAAACAGGUAAUCAAUAUUUUUUCUAUCGAUUUUUUAUCAAUAAUUUAUUAAUGUUACAAGAGUAAAAAAAUAAAAAUAAAUAAAUAAAAUUUUAAAUUUAAAAAACUGGCAGCUGAUGAAGUGGGGGUGUCUCAAAAAAUUGGCACAUAAGCAUACCCAUGUUUUCAGCCCUUCUAGCGAUCUGUUAUGAGAAAAUAAAUUAUCAAUCUGCAAUGAUGUCGCGAUUGUAUGAACUAGCGAUAAGUAAAAAAACUGUUUGACAAAAUUGCGACUGUUUGGAAAAACAC